CUGAUUCUCCGUCCUGUCAGUUCGCAACGAACGUGCCGAUAGCGCGGUCGUCGGUCGAGUGCGCUCCGCUCUCGUAGUUUUUCCUUCGUAGUAAUCAUUACGUUUAUUUUUACGUAGCCACAGUAGUGCGUUAUUACAUUACAUUAGCUCCCGCUGUUGUUGUUUUAUCAGUGUAGCCACCCGAGGUUAUUCAAUUCAAAAUUUUUCCUGCUAGAUUACAGCCGCUGGCGCUGCAUUUAUCUCUGGUAGAUUUUUAUUUAUCCGGACAUAAUCUAUUGGAAGCGGAUCAGUAGAAUUAAAUAAAGCGUGCAAUAAGUAAACAGAAGUGAUGCAAGUGAUGAUGACCGCAGAGAAGCAGAUCACUACCAGCGCGGAGUAAAAAUAAAAAUUUUGGAAAAAUUCUGGAUUUGAAUUUAAAAAAUUAUGAUGAAUAAAUGCAUGGAGAUGCACACGGCCGGUCUGAAUGGGGCGCUUAAUGGCAGUGGCGGCGGCGGCGGUGUUCGAGAUGAGCCGGAAGUGGAAGCCGACCCGGGGCAACUGCUCGAGGAAUGGCUCGGUGAACUGAGCAUCCUCACCGAGGUUAUGUAAAGUAGCGUUUGAGUUGACCCGCACGUGAAUAAUGUAAAAGCAGACAACCAAACAUACACGCAGACACGAACAAUGCACACACGAGGCGAAUGAAGC